rnacentral:tRNA from 1 species
GUCCUCGUAGCUUAGCGGUUUGAGCAUUCGGCUGUUAACCGAAAGGUCGGCGGUUCGAAUCCGCCCGAGGACG